AAGAUAAUGAAAUAAAAUGUAAAGUGGCGCCACCUAUAGAACCAGGUGAGACGUGGCGAGGAACAAGGCAAGCAUUUCCCGCCUGAGCUUAGCCACAGGAACAAGCCACUCACCUGAGGGUUCCUUACGCCUGAUUGGUCCUAAAUAUUGGGUUAACGAGUGUGACGUGAUUGGCACGGAGGUCGUCCGACUCGCCCGAGGGAGUCGCACAUAGCCAACUUAUUAUCCUCGGGACGGAGGUGUAGAAGCAGGUGCGUACGAAGAUGAGUACGGCGCCGACGCGAGUGACGACAGAACAACAAACACUCGUGAACUACUAGCUACGCUCCGAUAUAUGUGCCAGUGCCAAAGCGUGAGCAAACAGUUUUGCAAUGUGGUGUUUGUGGUGAGUGUACGACCUAUAGAAAAUGGUGUGUGAAACUGUUCACAAAUGAUUCAAUGUCGAUGCGGAAUCUUAAGGUCACUAUUUAAAGGUAUAUUAAGGGGGAGGUAUUAGGUAGCUGUAGGUAGGUUUUCUCUUUUGUGGUACGUAUUUACUCAAGGUCUUUUUUUUUGUAUAUAUUUAUUCAAUAAAUUGUAAUAGUGAAAUGUUUUUUUGUAUUCAUCCCUAACCAUAGACCUGAAUCAAAGAGGGGAUCCAU
rnacentral:lncRNA from 1 species